CUAAUACUCCCUCCGUUCGGAAUUACUUGUCAUAGAAAUGGAUGUAUCUAGAUGUAUUUUAGUUCUAGAUACAUCCAUUUCCGAGACAAGUAAUUCCGAACGGAGGGAGUAGCUU
rnacentral:pre_miRNA from 1 species